GGAGGUGUUUGUGUAGCCUUGGGCUCUACAUUGAGCAGAUGGGUUUUUCCCACAUAGAGAAUAUUUUUAAUCAGUUUAAUGAGUUAUGGGUAUAGAUAAGCUGCAUCGAUCCCAGAUUUAGACACAGCUUCUUAGCAGAUAUUUUAGUAUAAAAAGACAUUUUCUUGGAAAAAAAAUGCGACCAUUUCAUUAAAGGUGUUUCAGUUUCUUCUCAGUUGCCUGGGUAAGUUGCAAUUUAUUUGAGCUGGGAAAGAGUGAAGCUCUCAACCUCUAAGUGCUGUAGAUUAGAGCAUAUCAAUUUCUUUUUCUCUUCAGUUUCUGUGCUAGGGCAAAACCUAAUGUGGAAAGGUUUUCCUCUAUUGUGGGAACACUAUCUCCAUGAGAAAGAUUUGGGAGUUCUCUGAGGGAGCAAACCUUGCAACCCAAAAGAAAGGGGAUGUAGUUUGGUGCAUAAAGGUGGGGUUGGAGUGUGGGAAAUGAGUCAAUUUAUACGAGAGCUUUGAAUCUUGGUACCUGUUUAUGGUCUUUUUCACUCAUGGAGGAUGAAAAAUGCACUCCAGGAUGGAGAAUGACCACAGUGUCACCAUGUGCAAGCCUGAACCACUCCAUCUUCCAGACCUGGCUGGCUGUGGUGGCUCCUGCUCUUUAGAAUCUACACUACAAACUGUUCUCCUUCCUUUUUUUGUGUUAGGGGCAAUCUCUGGAUGUGCUGGCAGGGCGAGUGACUGGAGGGCACGAAGCCCAACCAAGCAGCUGGAAGAGGCAGCUCUGACAUUGCCCUGCUGUGCCUCGAAUCUCCUGCCAAUGCCAACGGGUUCAUUGAGCUGGGAGCGCUUCCACCUAAGGGAGAAAUUUUGCCCAAUGACUAUUCCUGCUGUGUUACUGGCUGGGGAGUGGUCAGUGGUGAGUGAGGGGGAAGGAGGAGGGUCCAGGGGGACCACCAUACAAAUAAAGCUUCUUUCCUCAACCCCUGGAGCUGCUGGGCCAAGCUGUCACCCUUUCUCAUGUCCCCUCUGCUGUGCAGUGGGUGGUGGCAGCGUGGACAGGCUGCAGGAGGUGAUGCUGCCAGUGGUGACCAUGAUAUCCCUGCUCCCAGGAGGGCUGGUGGGGAUCCCAGGCAAGGACAGCAUGCUCUGUGCAGGUGGAGAUGGUGUGAGGGCAGGAUGUAAGAGCUCUUAUAAUCAGAGGGGUUUCAAGCUGCCCUCUUUCUUUCUCCCUCCUUUCUCACCUUGCUGUGCCUCAAGUUCUGGUUUUGGCAUUUCUUCACCUGCAGUGGUUCUCCUGUAAAUCAUGGCCCCUUUUGCUGCUUUCUGCUGAAUAUCUUCUGAACCAGGCCUUCUCCACAUUCCUCCAAAGAUCAGCAAGCAGAGAGAAAAACCUCCAGCUCCUCAGGGUGCACCUCUCCUCUCUGAUUCUGGAGAGUAGAUUGUCUCUGUCUCUCAGCAGCGUGUCCCAAGGACCAGAUCCUGGGGACAAGGGUGAGACUUUGGCAGUCACCUCUGCCCUGACCCAAAGGGUGAAGCUACAAGGAAGUUUUUCCACUCUUCCAGUGCUGCUGUUUUGUUUUGUUGUACCCUGAGCCAGGCAUUGCUACCUCCUGCUUGUCAACCUUCUCCUUCCCAUCCACUCUGUUUGCAGCUGAGCUUGCUGCAAGUUUGGGCUAUGUCCAACAGCUUUCUCUGGCCCAGAGGUGGAAAAAGAAGAUAUUGUGAGGGUCCCAUUAUCCCAGAGGAUCCAGGUGGACUCAGCAUCAAGGCAAGGAGGCUUGGCAUGAGAAGCCAAGAAAUAUUUGUUACCUCUUCCUGUAUUCCCUUCACUGCAAAGGUGGCUUCUAAUAAAAGCAACCAUGCAGAGCCCUUAAAAAAUUGU
ensembl:lncRNA